rnacentral:rRNA from 1 species
GACAGAGGGUGCAAACGUUGUUCGGAAUUACUGGGCGUAAAGCGCGUGUAGGCGGCACGGCAAGUCGGAUGUGAAAGCCCGCGGCUCAACCGUGGAAGUGCACUCGAAGCUGCCGAGCUAGAGUCUCGGAGAGGAAGGUGGAAUGCUUGGUGUAGAGGUGAAAUUCGUAGAUAUCAAGCAGAACACCUGUGGCGAAGGCGGCCUUCUGGACGAUGACUGACGCUGAGACGCGAAAGCGUGGGGAGCAAACAGG